rnacentral:SRP_RNA from 1 species
GCCAGGCACCAUGGCGCGUGCAUGUAGUCCCAGCUACUUGGGAGGCUGAGGUGGGAGGAUCGCUUGAGCCCAGGAGUUCUGGGCUGUAGUGUGCUAUGCCAAUCGGGUGUCUGCACUAAGUUCUGCAUCAAUAGGUGACUUCCCGGGAGCAGGGAACCACCAGGUUGCCUAAGGAGGGGUGAACUGGCCCAGGUCGGAAACAGAGCAGGUCAGAACUCCUGUGCUGAUCGGUAGUGGGAUCAUGCCUGUGAAUAGCCACUGCACUCCAGCCUGGGCAACGUAGUGAGACCCCGUCUCU